UGAAAUUGGUAUAUUGGUCGAUUGAGGUAAGUAAAUUAAUUGAGUGGUGUGCUGACUUGAAAUAUGGCGAUUGUGAUGUUGAGUAUUGUUGCUUUGUAAGCAUGCCAUUAAUUGAAAUCGAAUUGAUAAGCAUGCAUUGUUUCAUUGAAAAGUAUGCCUUAUUGCAUUGUAUGGGGUUGAUUUUUGUGGACGACGGAGGAAUUUCAGGGAGUAUUGGCGGUAUACCCGCAAUCAUUGGUUAGCCAGUAUACUGCAUCAGAGUAUUGGGGAGAUUGACAGCUUGUCUGCAGUUGAUAUUGACGAUUUAUUUGCAACUUUAAUUGACAGUUUUAACUGCAAGAUUGAUAUUGGUGGCUCAACCACACUGAGCUUUGGAUCCAAUUGUUUGGUGUUCGGAUGAUGAGUUCUGAGGAACUCGUGGUGUGUAGCAGAUGGUAUGGGU
rnacentral:lncRNA from 1 species